UCCUGAAGAAUGCAAGCUAUGUGCGACGGAAGGCGGCUUGACAGAAAUCAGAACGAUACAAUAAAGGCACCUGAAUCCUACGUGUGUCUGUGGGGAGAACCCUUGCCUCUCUGCUUUGGUGUGGAGAAGGUGAAAGCAAUAGUGCUGUCAAAGACAGAGUGCUGCAGCAAGAGCAGAUUUCUAACAACCCACUACAACCAGCACAAACACUGAAUGCUGGAAUCUGGACUUUCAUGUACCAGCUGGCAAGAAGGCUGCCUCCUGAGGAUGAUGAUGGAGACUCGGCAGAGAUGAAGUAGCACUUCUUAUUGCUCCAGGCCAGUCGUCUGAAAAAAACAAAAUUGUUUAUUUGAUGAAAAGUGUUUUGUGAUAAAAAUAGCUCCUAAUUACCUAUGCAAGGGCAAUACUGGUAACUAGGCUCCAAAAUCUCCUAAAAUUGAAAAUCUGAUUCCUAUGAUUUUUCCACCAGUCCUCUCACCUAGCGGCUCUUCUACUUUGCAUACUGUAGGUGUCUUCCACGAGUCGUGAGUUGUGUGUAUGCAAUCGGAGGACCAUCCAGAUGCAAUGGUGUAAAAACUAGAGUAGGUGUAUUGAGAUUGAGAUAUGGUCCUUAGGUCGACCUCACUUAGGUCGACAGUCAAUAGGUGGUCCACUAUUGGUUGACAUGAAUUAGGUCGAAAUGGGUAUUAUGUCGACGUGGGCCAUAGGUUGACACAUGAAAAGGUCAACAUGAUUUUUUCACACUUUUUUUAUUUUUUUAAAACUUUUGCAUACUUUACGAUCCACACGGUCUACGAUCGGGAAUAAUGACCUGUGCCGAGCGUAGUGGUAGCAGAGCGAGGCACCUUGUCGGAAGCAUGGGGAACGGAGUGAGCCAUGCGAGGGGACACGGUGCACUAAUUGGGUUUCCCAGGCACUUUACGAAGAAAAUGACACCAAAAAAUAAAUAAACUCAUGUCGACCUUUUUCCAUGUCGACCUGAUGACCAUGUCGUCCUUUUCUAGGUGUCAACCUAGUGCCUGUUGACCAAUAGUGGUCAACCUAAUGAGUAUCGACCUAAAUAGGGUCGACCCAACAAUCCCAUUCCAUUCAGGGGCUGCUAGAGAGUUUAAUAUAUACCUGUUUGUGGAGUGAAUCUUGCAUGAAUUAACAUAAAAUAUGCACACGCAAGUACAGGAAAUGGAAUGUUACAUGCAUUUCUAUCACACGUACAAUUCUAAAGGCAGAUCUUGGAUGUUCUAAGUUAUUCUUAUAUAGGCAAAGUUCAGUGGGGGCUAGGAGAACAGUUAUGAUUUGCAACUAGUAUAGGAAGAUGCACGUGCAUGCUCAUUAUGAUGACUAGUAAAAAAAACAGGUGCACGUGCUACAGAUGCAGUUGCGUAAAGCUCUGCAUAUGGGCAAAAUCUAUGCGCUUUUUCCAUGUAUGCCUGUUUUGGGCAAUGUAAGUUCAAUUUGCUUCCAAUUCUGAAUCAUCCUUCUAAUGUGUUUCGUGUAUAGGGUUAAAUACUAAAGCUGAGUGCACACCUAUGCAAUAAUCAUAUCGGUGUAUAUGCAGCAGCAAUAGCCAGUGGUGCCGAGCGGGGGGUGUACUAAUUGGGUGGGCCCGGGUCGGUGCCCCCCCACCCCUUUUCUUUUAUCUUUCAGCUGCCAGCAGCCUAGUGGGCUCACAGCGCAGCUUGUAUCAUCUGUCUGUCAUGUUGGAAAGUGAUUACACACUGAUCACACCCUCCCCCCUACCUGGCUCUGACCCUCACUGAAGGGUACACGGUUCCCCCCUGUACAGGUCAGUGCUUCUUAAACAUCGAUUUAUUGUAGUUGGUUUUUUUUUAAAGGGGGUGUGGCCACACCACUGGGAUUAGGCCAUACCCCCUGCUUUACCGGGGCCCAGGAAAGGUCUCUACGGCCCUGGCAUUAGCCAAUAAACGACUACAAGUGCUACUGCAAUGGUUAGAUCGGGGGUCAGAAUUUUUUGCCCUGCUUAAAAAUUGCGAUAUCUGACCUCCUGAUCCCCUUGAUGAAAGUGCAUACACUGAGCUAAAAAUAGAUCAGUGUGUACAGGGUGCACAGUGAUCAGAUAAUCAUUCUGAGAAAGAGAGUGUAAAUCUGAGUGUGUACCCAGCUUAAGGCUAUGACAGAAACUUGUCAGGACCAAUGAUAGAAAUCAUGCUUUAUAACAAACGAAAAGAGUUGACAAAAAGAAUUUAACAGUCCUGGUUAUGCUCUACUAAAAUACAUUGAAAAAAAUAU